rnacentral:SRP_RNA from 1 species
ACUGGACUCGGUGACGUGCACCUGUAGUCCCAGCUACUCGGGAGGCUGAGACAGGAGGAUUGCUUGAGCCCAGGAGUUCUGGGCUGUAGUGCGCUGUGCGGAUCAGGUGUCCGUACUAAGUUCGGCAUCAGUAUGGUGACCUCCCGGGAGCGGGGGACCACCAGGUUGCCUAAGGAGGGGUGAACCGGCCCAGGUCUGAAACAGAGCAGGUCAAAACUCCCGUGUUGAUCAGUAGUGGGAUCCCGUCUAUGAAUAGCCACUGCACUCCAGCCUGGGCAACGUAGUGAGACCCUGUCUCA